rnacentral:rRNA from 1 species
AGGACGAACGCUGGCGGCGUGCUUAACACAUGCAAGUCGAACGGUGAACCAGAGCUUGCUCUGGGGAUCAGUGGCGAACGGGUGAGUAACACGUGGGCAACCUGCCCCAGACUCUGGGAUAACCUCGGGAAACCGAUGCUAAUACCGGAUACGACCACUUCGGACAUCCGACGGUGGUGGAAAGUUUUUCGGUCUGGGAUGGGCCCGCGGCCUAUCAGCUAGUUGGUGGGGUAAUGGCCUACCAAGGCGACGACGGGUAGUCGGCCUGAGAGGGCGACCGGCCACACUGGAACUGAGACACGGUCCAGACUCCUACGGGAGGCAGCAGUGGGGAAUAUUGCACAAUGGGCGAAAGCCUGAUGCAGCGACGCCGCGUGAGGGACGACGGCCUUCGGGUUGUAAACCUCUUUCAGCAGGGACGAAGCGAAAGUGACUGUACCUGCAGAAGAAGCACCGGCUAACUACGUG